rnacentral:rRNA from 1 species
UGGUAGUCCACACCCUAAACGAUGAGUACUAGACGCUGAGCCUUUUAAGGCCCAGUGUCUGAGCUAACGCAUUAAGUACUCCACCUGGGAAGUACGAUCGCAAGGUUGAAACUCAAAGGAAUUGACGGGGGCCCGCACAAGCAGUGGAGCAUGUGGUUUAAUUCGAUGCAACGCGAAGAACCUUACCUAGGCUUGAAACGCAAGUUAAAACUGAUGAAAGUCAGUGUGCCGCAAGGCGAACUUGUACAGGUGCUGCAUGGCUGUCGUCAGCUCGUGCCGUGAGAUGUUGGGUUAAGUCCCGCAACGAGCGCAACCCUCGCCUUUAGUUACCAUCAUUCAGUUGGGUACUCUAAAGGAACCGCCGGUGAUAAGCCGGAGGAAGGUGGGGAUGACGUCAAGUCCUCAUGGCCCUUACGCGCUGGGCUACACACGUGCUACAAUGGCGACUACAGUGGGCAGCAAUCCCGCGAGGGUGAGCUAAUCUCCAAAAGUCGUCUCAGUUCGGAUUGCACUCUGCAACUCGAGUGCAUGAAGGCGGAAUCGCUAGUAAUCGCGGAUCAGCAUGCCGCGGUGAUACGUUCCCAGG